rnacentral:rRNA from 1 species
AGCGAACGCUGGCGGCAGGCCUAACACAUGCAAGUCGAACGAACCUUUCGGGGUUAGUGGCGGACGGGUGAGUAACACGUGGGAACGUGCCUUUAGGUUCGGAAUAACUCAGGGAAACUUGUGCUAAUACCGAAUGUGCCCUUCGGGGGAAAGAUUAAUCGCCUUUGGAGCGGCCCGCGUCGGAUUAGCUAGUUGGUUGAGGUAAUGGCUCACCAAGGCGACGAUCAGUAGCUGGUCUGAGAGGAUGAUCAGCCACAUUGGGACUGAGACACGGCCCAAACUCCUACGGGAGGCAGCAGUGGGGAAUCUUGCGCAAUGGGCGAAAGCCUGACGCAGCCAUGCCGCGUGAAUGAUGAAGGUCUUAGGAUUGUAAAAUUCUUUCACCGGGGACGAUAAUGACGGUACCCGGAGAAGAAGCCCCGGCUAACUUCGUG